UCCUACGGGAGGCAGCAGUGGGGAAUUUUGGACAAUGGGCGAAAGCCUGAUCCAGCAAUGCCGCGUGUGUGAAGAAGGCCUUCGGGUUGUAAAGCACUUUUGUCCGGAAAGAAAUCCUUGGCUCUAAUACAGUCGGGGGAUGACGGUACCGGAAGAAUAAGCACCGGCUAACUACGUGCCAGCAGCCGCGGUAAUACGUAGGGUGCGAGCGUUAAUCGGAAUUACUGGGCGUAAAGCGUGCGCAGGCGGUUUGCUAAGACCGAUGUGAAAUCCCCGGGCUCAACCUGGGAACUGCAUUGGUGACUGGCAGGCUAGAGUAUGGCAGAGGGGGGUAGAAUUCCACGUGUAGCAGUGAAAUGCGUAGAGAUGUGGAGGAAUACCGAUGGCGAAGGCAGCCCCCUGGGCCAAUACUGACGCUCACGCACGAAAGCGUGGGGAGCAAACAGGAUUAGAUACCCUGGUAGUCCACGCCCUAAACGAUGUCAACUAGUUGUUGGGGAUUCAUUUCCUUAGUAACGUAGCUAACGCGUGAAGUUGACCGCCUGGGGAGUACGGUCGCAAGAUUAAAACUCAAAGGAAUUGACGGGGACCCGCACAAGCGGUGGAUGAUGUGGAUUAAUUCGAUGCAACGCGAAAAACCUUACCUACCCUUGACAUGGUCGGAAUCCCGCUGAGAGGUGGGAGUGCUCGAAAGAGAACCGGCGCACAGGUGCUGCAUGGCUGUCGUCAGCUCGUGUCGUGAGAUGUUGGGUUAAGUCCCGCAACGAGCGCAACCCUUGUCCUUAGUUGCUACGCAAGAGCACUCUAAGGAGACUGCCGGUGACAAACCGGAGGAAGGUGGGGAUGACGUCAAGUCCUCAUGGCCCUUAUGGGUAGGGCUUCACACGUCAUACAAUGGUCGGAACAGAGGGUUGCCAACCCGCGAGGGGGAGCUAAUCCCAGAAAACCGAUCGUAGUCCGGAUUGCACUCUGCAACUCGAGUGCAUGAAG
rnacentral:rRNA from 1 species